GAAGUUUGAGUGCUAUUUAUUAUUAUAGCUUAAUUCCUUCUUCAUGUAUACUGAGGAUUAUGCUUAAACUGGAUUUCUAGGAAAAAAAAAUUAUCACCAAAGACCCACUCUUAAGCACCAGCAAGUUAUCCCAUUUCUUUAAUGCAUAAAGUGAUGUUUACUGUGACUUACAGGUUUUUCAUUUGUACUGUUUCCCCAAAUGUUUCUUUUUCUUUAUGUAAAGUUCACGUUUGUCACCUCCAUACCAGGAGGAAAUUUAGUGAGUUACCUACCGUGGACACUGUUUUACAGACUUUAAAAUAAAGAUCCACAUGUACUUUAGCUUAUAGGACAGAUCCCAUAAAUGCAACCUUGACGCAUGGAAGAAAUCUAACCGUCGAAAAAUAAACCCACACCAGGAUCUUCUCGGUUAUCCCGGACCCAGGAAAGAGGGAGCAGGGUCUGGGCAGGCUUCACCCCUGAAGGACAGCUGGACAUCUCGGCCCCACCUGGGAGGAUGCUUUGGACUACUUCUCAGGUUGCCGCCUGACGAUUGGUGGCUGGCCUGGAAGGGAGGGUCCGCAGGAAACGCGACACUGGGGAUGCUGCUCCUAUCACGUGAUGGAAAUUGCCACUCUUUUUUAGAAAGGCGAAAAGAAAAGAAAGAAGGGUCUCUCCAUCCAUCCCUUUCUGACACUUCCCCUGAAUCCCGGUCUGGAAAGGGUAGUAAAAGAGGCGGCUCCUAGGCGGCAGAGUGGCGAUUGGAUCCGAGUCCUUGAGUUUGAACUCCAGAGUCAAUGUGUUCUCCAUUUCACUGGGCAGAUCAUAUUUGAGAAAAAGAGUUUGGAAUUACAGUGAGAAAACAAUAGCGAACUAAGAGGAACAUAGCAUCUGAACACAGGAUGAAAGCUGAGCUCAUCUGAACAGAAAAUAAAGGACUGCGCUUUGUAAUAAAUAUAAAUACAGACACAGAUAUAGGUAUGCAGAUGUCUUUGUUUAUAUAAGAUAUAAUUAAUAAAUUAGUAUGCAUAUGUAUAUGUCAACAGAACUCUUGUGAAUAUCAGCUCAGCUGUAAAGCGCCCGGGUUAUCUUAAGGCUUAUGGUCUGUCAGAAUAAAACGGGGCCAAUGUGAGGAGGCAGAAGGAAAGCCAAAAGACAUGGAGACACUGAUGUCAACCAUUCUGGGUGCAUAAUAGAUAUUCAAAGAUUACUCACUGAUGGAAUAAUUGGUUAAUUGACUAAUUGAUUAAAAACGGGAAAGGGAAUUUAAAAAAAUACUAAAGACAGCUCAUUCCAAUUCACAUUUGGUGAAAAUUUUGCAAGGGGAAUUAGUGAAAUUGAAACAUUCAGAAUUGAGAUUUCAUAUCAACAUGUCAGAAUUUUAUGUCCAACAUUUCUUUUGGAUGACCACUUUGAUAUUUCUCUGACCUCUUUUUAAGUGUAGUUACUACUUACUGACAUUGCUAAGGUUUUUAAUCCAAACAAUGGCAAAAAAGAGUUCCACAGGGAGAAAGAAAUUUGGCUAGUUUGAACUCCAGUCAUGUUUAUAGUUUACUUUAGGUUUGUAAAAUUCCUUGUUUUAAUUUACUAAAAUAAAAAAAAUGUGUACAUUUUAUCUGCUGCCACCAAUAGUUCUGUUGUCACCCUAGGAACUAUGUACUAUUUUAUAAAUGAGAAAAAGCUCAUAGAGUUUACCAAGUUGUUGAUAGUACAGCUAGUAAUUAAUGGAGUCAGAAUUAGAACCCAGAUCUUCUGAAUCAAAGUCCAGCACUGAGUGUUAGCAUAACAGAAGAGAACAUUGUUCAGAACAAGAGAAGACUUUCAAUCGGGUGUCAGAAGACUUCUCAUGUAGAUAAAAAGGGAUAAACAGAAAGUUUCAAGACAAAAACAGUGAAGCUUCUCUCAGGAUUCCUCAGAAAAGCUAAUGGUGAAAGUCUUAAGUAAACAUCAAAUGAAAUGCCAUCAGCCUUUAAUUUAAAGAGAAAGAAAAGAUGCAAGCAAAACUAUUUAAGUCAGUAAGAUUGUCUUAUUCACAUGUAAAAAUCAGACUACCCAUCCAAAUAAGCACGAAUCAAUCUUUCAAUUGUUACUUUUGACACUAUACAAGACCCUAUUAAGAAAUAAUUAAGGAAUAUAAAUGCUUGCAAAUUAAGAUAUUAAUAUUACUGGAAAAUUGCUCAUAUAUAAUUAACAAGUAUUGAUCUUCACCUAAGUAGAUUUUAAAAUAAUUAAGACAAAUUGAAAUAUGUGGAAUUUUAGAGUCUAACUUAAAAAAUCAACUUCAAAUAUCUAGGAAGGAAGAGUCAGGAUUUCUAUAGUUAAAGAUUCAACUCCUGUAAAACUUGCAAUUAACUAUUUUUUGACAUAGUUUACAUCAUUUGAAACAAAAUACUUCAUGAACCUAAGCUUUUCUGUUCUUAGCCUAAUACAACAAUCCUGAUGGUCCAAACACAAAGCAGAAGCCCAGGUCCACAUAAACUCUCUAGGGAUGCAACGUAGGAAGGAUUUGCCUCAUGCUACCCGGGUGGUUUUCACUGUUAGUAGUAACCUUUAUUAUCACAAUUUCAACAAAACACAUUUUCUUCAAAUAUCUGAAAUCUCGAGCUCUAUGUGGAGCUGCUGAGCUGGACUUCUUUUAUGAGCUCAUAUGAAUUAAACAUAACAAAGAAAAGACAUGGUAUCCACAGCCCUCUGUGAUCCCUGCAGUGACCUUUCCAGUGGUGUUUUCCAUUCUUUCAGAAACACCCAGCUGCCAGGAACUGCUUCUUGCCUCCUUGCCUUUGCUUGUGCUAUCUGCUCUGCCUGCAGUCUGCUCCCCAUCGCAUUUCUCCUGCCAACCUUCUAUUUGUUCUUUCGGCUUUAGCCCAGCUGUCACUUCCUCCAGAAGCUUCUCUGCCCCUUGCAAGCUGAGUUGGGUACCACACUUCUCCUACCCCUCAGAUGCCAUGGACAUUUUGUGCAUCCUGUUACAUAUUAUAUGCCCAUUUUUCUCAACAAUAUUUUGAGAUCUAUUUAGAAUAUCUCUUGCAGAUGGGGAAAAAACAAUCGAUUUUUUUCCAUUCUUUCAGAACAAACUGGAGAUGUAUAAUUUUAUCUAGAUUCUAAAUAGCUCAUAAAUGCCCAUUCAGAAUCAAAGACUUUUUAAGGGAGUUGAUUGUUUGCUGGUUAAGUACCCCAAAAUAGAGAUUUAGCUAGUGGCUAAUGCCCAAAAUUUGAUUAACAAUUGUUGAAAAAC
ensembl:lncRNA